AUUCAGAGAAUUGUUAAAAUUACCGGAAAUCUUUUCGACAAUUUGUAUAUUUUAAAUAAUUAAAAUCGAUAAAUUAUUUAAAUUAAAUACCUUUUUUAUUCCCAUUCAAUUGCAAAAUACAAACUGUGGUUUUAACGCCCGAAUCAUUUAUAAUACCGGAAUAAAUAUAUAUUUAUUUAUCCGACCGAACCUCGCGAAAAAAAUUGCCUAACGUUUAAAAUUACCCAUUUAAAAAUUUCCCAAAUUUUUGGAUUUUGGAAAUUUUAAUAGGAAAAUUACCGCAAAAAUUACCGAAUGUUUUCGGUUUAUUUUGUAAAUCGACGGACGAUAAUUUCCACGGCAGAUAUUUAUUUUCCUCGAAACGGAAUAUAAUAUAUUUAUCGGAUAAAAAUAAUGGACGAAAUAUUAAAUAAAUUUAUUUCCAAUUACCCGCAAUUUCGUUUAAUUUAAUAAUUUGCCCGUUAUAAUCCAAUAUUUACCCGCAAUUAUUAUUUAACGUUUAAAUCCGUUUUUGGAUUUCCAAACCCAAAUUAACGCAAUUCGCCGGAACCGUAAAAUAAAAUAAAAAAGCCGUCGUAUUUAAAUCCGCAAAAUAUUUUAAAACCCUAAACGCCUAUACGAGAACCAGGUUUAAAUCGCAAAAAUUAACGUUUUUCCAAUUAUUUUAAAAACUGUUUUUAAUAAAGGCCUGUUAAUUAUUAUUUGGACCCUUUUUACCAAUUUUCGUUAAAAUCGAUGGAAAUUAUCCCUAUUAUCCACGGAAUUUAGACCGUUGGUAUUAAUAAAUAAUAUAUUUAUAACCAAUUUAAAUACGGUAUUAGCCCUAUAAUAAAAGAAGUUUACAAUGGAUAUCCUAUUCCAUUUUUUGCAAAAAAAACCCGAAACAUAUCGCGCAAAUACGAGACAAAUUGCCCAAAAUAUUUACCCAUUUUAAAAAGAAUUUCCAAAAAAAUAUUGACGAUUUUCUCGUUUAACCGACCCGGUUUUGAUAUAAUUUUGGAAUUCGAAAAUUUUUUGGAAAAAUAACCAACCCGUUAUUUGAUUUUUUUCGCGAUAAUAAAAUUGGAAAAAGAAUAUCGACGAAUUUUUAAUAAUCGAUUUUAUUAAACGGAUUAUGGAAAAAACCGCAAUUUUGAUUUUAUUUGUUUUUAAACCGUAAUCGAAAAAAUGACGUUUUUAUAUAAAUUACCAAUAAGUAAAUAAAUUUAUUAAGAAACGACAAAUAUUUGUUUCCGACGUGGCCGGAACGUUAAACAAAUAUGGAAAAACCCGGAAAAUAACAAAAAUCGAUAUUAUUCGAAUUUUUAAGAAAUUGUUAAUAAAUUUGAAUUUACGGUAUUUAACGGCGUUUGAAACGCAAUAAAAUAUAUUUUGAUGGAAAAUCCUAUUUUUUAAGUUAAAAAUGGGAUCCGCCUGGCUCCAAAUUUUUAUUAACGUUUAAUUUAAUAAAUUAUUAAACGUUUUCGCGAACGUCUACGCAAAUAACGUAUUAAUUUACACCGAAAUAUAAUUGGAGCAAAUCCAUUUAAAAUAAACCGAAAAUAUUAUUUACAAAUUGCACAAAGCCGGAUUUCAAAACGAUAUUAAAAAAUUAAAUUUCGGCGUUUUCGAAACCAAAUACUUGGAAUUAUUUUUAAAAAUCGGUAAAAAUAUCCGUAUCGAUUCCAAAACAGUCGAAAUUAUUAUUAAAUCGGCGAUAAAAUAAUACUACCUCCGUUUCCGCAAUACAAUUUUCUUAAAUUUAUAUAAUUUCGUUCGGACAUUUUGCUAUUACGCCAACAAAUAAACAAAACUUUUAAUCAAAUUAUUAAAAAAAGAAAUCCCGUUCGAAAAAAACCCCGAAUAAAGAUUUGCUUUUAAAACGUUAAAAUAAUUGGUAAUUACCGCCCCUGUAAUAAAUCUUUUUAAACCCGGUAUAUUUAUUAAAACAAAUACCGACGUUAAUAAUAAAACUACCGCCGGUAUUAUAUAAUAAUAAUAAAAUAAUAGUAAUCGGAAAUUAAUCGGUUAUUUGUCCAAAAUUAUAUUCCCUAUUAAAUGAAAUUAUCCGAUUUAAAAUUAGGAAUUAUUAAUUGUAAUUAAUACGUUAAAAAAUUUUGAACCAACCUUAUUAGGUACCAAAUUUUAUAUUUUUACCGAUUACCAAGCCCUAAUUUAUUAAUUAACCAAAAAACUUUUAUCCGUUCGCCAAAUACGAUAAAUUAUUUAUUGGUUAAUUUCGAUAUUACUUUUAAAUACCGUUCCGGUAAAAAUAAUAUAAUAACCAAUAUUUUUUCGCGCAAAACCAUCGAUAACUUUACGGUUAAACCCCGAACUAUAUUAAAUUGUAUUAUUGCAUUAAUGACUCCAAAAGAAAUCGAUUUCCGACCCGGCGAACCGUUUCCAAUUAUUAGCAAUUUGGAAUUUUCCGUACCGUAAAAAAAUAAUUUAAUGGUUUUUUUUUGGAAAAAAACCUAAACCAAAAUUUGAAUUAUUAUAAUAAUUUAUUAACGGUACCUAAAAUUACCCAAAAGAAUAAAAAAACUUCAAAAACGGUUUUUAUCCGCGAAAUUUAUAAACCCAAAAUUUUCGAUUAUAAAAAUUAAAACAAAACCUUUAACCGUUUUAAAAAGAAUUAUUGGUGGUCCGAUAAAAAUCGAAACGUUAAACGUUAUAUUAAAAAUUAUUGCGAAUAUUAACGUAAUAAAAUAUAAUAUAAUAAAAUAUUUGGAUUGUUGCACCUAUUGGAGAUUUUAAACGGUAUUGGUAAUACGUAAUAAUAAAUGGAAAAAGUUUGCCCAAAAAUAAAAAAGGUUACAAUUACGUUUGAGUUUUUAUUUGCCGAUUAAUUUAAUUUUUAACCAUUUUACCAAGAAAAAAAAACGGAUAUCGCGGAAAUUUUAAUUAUGCGGUAUUAUUAAAUUAUAUACCGUUGCAAAACCGUCCCCGAUUUAUAAUUUUCCAAUAACGCCGGACCGUUUAUAUUCGAAUUUUUAAAUAUUUUAAACAAAUUGAUAAAAAUGAAAUAUAAAUAUAAAAACGUUCGUUAUUUUUAAAAUUAAAAUAACGUUAAAAUUACCAACGUUAAAUUGGAUUAAAAAAUGCGUUUUUAUAUAAAUAAAUACCAAAUAAAUUAGCGACAAUAUAUUUCCGUUUUCGAUUCCGGUUAUAAUUUGUCCGUUUACGCCUUUAUUAGUAUAAUACCGAUCGAAACAAAAACCGGAAUCCGUUUUAAAAACCCGUUUCUUUUUUAUUUUUACCCGAAAAAAUUUGGAAAACCGGUUAAUAAUAAAAAACGUUGGAAAUAAUCCGCCAAAUCCGGCAAAUUUAAAAGUUGGUCCGUAAUAACGGAUUUGGAACGUAAAUAAAAUAAUAAAAGCAGGUUAAUAAAAAACGACGAUCGAUCGAUUUUACGGUAAAGAAUGCGGUUUACGUUAAUAAAAAGGGUUUUUCUGUAAGAAUUCCUACGACCAAAUUGAAUUCGCACAAUGUAAAAUUAUAAACAAUUUUCGAAAAAAGGGUUAUAAUUUCAUUUUCGAUAUUUUUACCUAAUAUGAAAAUAAUAAAUUGUUUUA
rnacentral:sRNA from 1 species